rnacentral:rRNA from 1 species
UACAGAGGUCUCAAGCGUUGUUCGGAUUCAUUGGGCGUAAAGGGUGCGUAGGUGGCGCCAUAAGUCAGGGGUGAAAUCCUGGAGCUCAACUCCAGAACUGCCUUUGAUACUGGCGAUCUCGAGUCCGGGAGAGGUGAGUGGAACUGCGAGUGUAGAGGUGAAAUUCGUAGAUAUUCGCAAGAACACCAGUGGCGAAGGCGGCUCACUGGCCCGGUACUGACGCUGAGGUGCGAAAGCGUGGGGAGCAAACAGG